GCCAACUUCUGCGUUUCUCUCUGUUCGGUUUGGUUUGUUUUUUUCUGGAUGGAAGAUUUCCAACUCUCCCGCGCAAGAAUGACACCGUGGAGCUAAGCAGCACUUUUAAAUAAGGAUGUCAAAGGGAAAGACGUGAAUUUCUGGAGAUGUGGAAAAGCUUUCUCUAUUCCGAGGGUCCUUGGCCUUGAGGAUCUUUCUUUGCCACCGGAGGCUUAGCUCACCCUGAGCUCGGUUGAUCUGGGGUCAAGUUUUCCUCUGAUAAAGACGGAUAAAUGUUUAGACAACGCAGACAGAACUACAGGGAGUGACAACCACGACAACAAACGAGGCAUAGAGGAAUACACAGAAGAAAAGAGUUUACUUGAGUUCAAGUGCAAGAUAUUAUCUUGUACUGGGGCUAAAAAUAGAGAUUUUUCCAGUGUUGAUCUUGUUUACAAGCAGCACAUAUGGUUAGUGACCUGUCUUCCCAAGGAGAAUGACUGAGAUGUCUGUUUGGAAUUAUUCCUGGAAUUGGACCAGCAUGAGGUCUCCUUUACCAAUCUGAGUGAUGUAAAAUACCUACAGGAGCAGCUGCUUCUAAUUUUUUUUUUCCUCUCUGGCCUAAUGAAUCUUGAAUAUUUCUUUGCAAGUUGAGCAGGAGCGAGGACUGAGUGUCCUUAUUCAGGAGCUGCCCAUUCUUGGUGAUGAGGGCUAGUUCUGGCUUUAUCUGCAGAGAAAAGACUUAAAGGCAGCCAAUAAUAACAGGCAGAAGGAUUUAGGUGGAAUUUAGGCAGAAUCCAGGCCAGCCUGAUCUGUGCAAUUUAUUUGUUCUGACAUCAAUCCUGGCUCUGCCAAAUAGGUCAGGGUCUGUUGGUGAGGUUGCAAUAGGCACAUGUAUGGAGGGAUGAAUGUGUCCCAGAUAAGACUACUUCUUUUGAAAAGUAAGGGUCUUGAGCAAAGCUCUGUCAACAGCAUCUUCCAUUCUCCUGACACCACCACCACUACAAUCUACUGCUUUUGCGCUUCUUUAAAAACAACAUGGCCCUGUGAUGAAAUGGGUUCUUCUGUGGUGAAAGGAGUAGAUUUUAGCAACCAGGAUGAAAGCAAACAGUAAAAUUCUUAUCAGCAGCAACCCCAAACCACUUGUCUAACUACUCUUUCACAUUAUAAACACUGCUCAGCUGUAUUUAACUGAUCAGUAUAACCGGAGGUAAAUGAUGUUACAGUUCUUCCAGGGUCUACCAUGUUCCUUGAACAGGCAGUGUUUUUGUCAUCGUUUUACACAAAAAAAACCACAUGAAUUGGAUUAUAUAUGGUAAAGAUAAAAAGGCAAGCCCUUCUCCUUGCCAGAAAACCUUAGAAAGCUGUAAAUUUGGGUGUUCUGUUGAAAGUCAAUAUAGCAAAACUUUCACUGGAAGAAAAUUGUACAGUUGAGCUUUUGAAAGUUUGGAAGCCAUUCUGAUGCUGUCACAUACUGUUUGUUUUUCUCACUUAUUCAAUCAGCAGAGUUUGAAGUUAAGAUUUUCAAAGCCGUAGCAUAGAUUUCUUUCAUUUGAGCCAAUAAAGUAACCAAUAAUUGAGGUCAGGCACUUCCCUGUACAUGGGCAGCUCUUGGAGGGAGAGAUGACGCUGUCAAGUUAUAUGGUAGAGACAUCAGUGAAAUACAGGGUAGGGGGGCGCUGCUGGGCUCUAUUUCUGGAGCUGGGGUGGGCUUUGUAGCCCUGGAGCCCUACAAGAGUUGUAAGUCUAUGGGAAUGUUAUUUGCAAAGUGGGUAUUUGUUGGUUAGUUGUGAAGGGAGUAUCAUAUUGAGAAAAAAGGGCUAUAAACAGAGCAUAAUUGUCCUGAGAACAGGGGGAAAGAAAUGAGAACAAACCUUUUGUUUCCCGAAUCACACCUAUGUGUUCUUUCCUUUCCUUAAUCAACUUUUUAAAGUUUGUGUUAUUUUGGUUUUGGGUUUGGAUUUUUUUUCCCCCUUAGAUGCUAUGUAUAGCUCUCUUUGCCACAGUGGGAGUGUUAUAAAUGUAUAUAUGUAUGUAUGGAAAUAAAAUUAGGAGACAACAGAAUAUGGUGCAUUUUAAAGCAUGCAACAGCAAGAAUAAAACCCUUGAAGAGCUUUGUCUGAAGACUGCAAGACUGGUUCUUAUUUGCAGAGAUGUUGGUUUCAGUAUGAGCUCAAUCUCUGUACUAAAAUCUUUUUAUCAAAUACUGGUUUGUGUGUGUGUGUGCGUUGCUUAUAUAAGCUUUUCAAGAUACGGUGUAAAGCUAAAGCAGUAAGAAAGUCAUUGAUGGAUGUUUACUAAUUCCAGAUCCAUUUACUGUUCCGAAUAUUGUGGCACCAUGUUUUUUGUUACUAUCUCAGCCACCAUAAAUUUGAACUUCUGAAAAA